CCCAUAGCUAUUUCAAUUCUUCUAUUAAAGGUUGUAAAUAGAAAUUAAUAUCAUUGUCUAGAUCUUUAUUAUCUGAAAUAAUCAUUAAUAAAAUAAGUAAAAAUUAUUUCAUACACAUCCAUGGUGGUAAAUUAUAAGGAAGCAAAAUAAUUAGCCUAGUACUGUAAGUAGAACUCAAGAUUUGAAAAUGGAUGGAAGCC
rnacentral:lncRNA from 1 species